UCUUUCUGAUAACAAAAUUACCGUUUUACCGGACAAUGCCUUUUAUGGUUUACAAAACCUUUCUUAUCUAAACCUACGAUGGAACCAGAUAACCACCAUUGCAGACAAUGCUUUUAAUGGAUUGCCAAAUUUACAGAUACUAUACCUAGGUAGCAACCAGAUAACAACCAUUCGAGACAAUGCCUUUAAUGGAUUGCCAAAUUUAAAGAGACUAAACCUAGGUAGCAACUAGAUAACCACCAUUCCAGACAAUGCCUUUAAUAAAUUUCCAAAUUUACAGACACUGGAUCUUUCCUUGAACAAAAUUACCGUUAUACCGAACAAUGCCUUUAAUGGUUUACAAAACCUUUCUAAACUGU